ensembl:lncRNA
AUCACAGUGGCAGCGUUCUCCUGUCCUCUGGUCCUGGGUUCUCUCUCUCCUAGGUGUGCAGUGGUACAGAGGCUUGGCAGCAGGUGCAGCUGAUCUGGUAAUCAGCAGAUCGAGUGCAGGUGGGAUUCAUCUAAUCAUCCCCUCCAGCUCCUCUAUAAAACCUGAGGCCACUGUGCAUCCUGUGCCAGACUGUGAAGCUACUUCCAGUUAGUUGUGUGACCAGUUCAGUCUGAGCCACCUUCUGGUUCCUACAGUAAUCUGGUUUAGAACUGACUCCUGCCUGCUGAUGAUGUUACCCGGAUCUCCUGGUUUCACUGCUUACCUGUUGUCUGGUUCUUCGCUCGGCUGUUCUCCUGGCUCCGGUUGGUUCUCCGUGGAUUCUCCGUGUUCUGGAAAGAAAGCAGCUGCUGCCAGCCUCGCUACUGCUAAGAGCUGCCACGCCACCCAGGAUGCCAUUAACACCACCCUCCACGCCAAACCGCCAGUCUAAUCCCCACGGACGCCAAAAUACCACCACAGGCUGUCAGAACAUCUGGGAAGUGACUCAUUCCACCUGACAAGACUGGCUGGAACCAGGCACCCUGUAUAGACACUCACCCCGUCUCCGUCAAUCCUGUCAUUAGUCCGCCAACCCACUAGAGGGUAUCCCGAUCCGUUCCGCCUCUGGCUGCUUUGGUUAACAUCUGGCUCCGUUUUUUUUCUAGUUCCAGUUUAUCGUUGUAGUUCUUUUUGUUCUAUGUUGUAAAUACAAGCAUUAUAGAAUCUUUUAUUGACUGCUCUGUCAUUUCCUGCACUUGAGCCUCUGUAUCUGCCGUAACAGUACGGCCUUAUUCAAGUUUUUAGUAUUUAAACUGCUGCUUCCUGGGCUCCAACUUUUGCUAAAACCAGAUGAUUCGUUUUGGCAGAAGUAUAGAUGCACCCCAGCACCAGGACACAAACAACUAAUUAAUUUGAAUAUAAGAAGUUGAAUAAAUGUGGAAAAAAAAAAAAAAAGAUCCAAAAAAACAAAACCAUGAGUCUCUUGUUAGAAAUGAAGGAUUAUGCAUUAUUUGUGUAUAUAUGUAACAUGGUGUCAAACAAGGUUCAAAACUAAAGUGUAGUAAUAAUGUAGUUACUGACUUCUGUAUGUUUGGUCUCCUCAGUUUGGUACCUGAAUCAGCUUGACUGGCUAAAUAUGUGACUGAAUCCAGUGUUUUGUUU